GAUUCUCUCUCAUCACUGAUGUUUCUAUCUCCCUCUCCCUUCCUUUCUCUGAAAAAGAAUCACUGAAGGAAACAGUGGGGACCGGGAGACACGUGAAACAAUGGCUUUAUCCAGAGUUCGACAAGGCUGCAGCCAGCGGUGUGGAAAUGAUCGCAGAAUAAGGAUUCUGGGGGUUUCUGCAUCCCAGACCCCCUUAGGGACUCUGCACCACCAGUUUCCUGGUCCCCGUUCCAGUCGGUGAACUGCCCCAGUCCAUCUGCUCCUGAGCUCACCCCUACCUACCUACCAGCUUAGAGGUUAGAGUGGCCCUGAAGAUCCCUAGAAAACAGAAAGGUUGAGACUAGUAACAGGAAAGAACUGAAAGAGGAAAACUUGAUCGUUACCCAUAAAAACACACUGGUUUCCUCCGAGGAAAAAUGGUUCAGGAAAGGAGUUUAUCUGAUGAACAUCGGAGGGCGAUGUGUUUGAGUUUCUGGGUUCAGACCUGAAGGGCCGGGGAGUGGGGAGGGGUCUGGAUCUUAGUUGAAAGGAACCUCUGCCCUUGGAGAAUGGCACAGGCAGGAAAGAAGCCAUCACCCGCCCCCAGCUAAGCCGCUGUUAAAGCAGUGGGUGGUCACUGCCCUCGCUGCCUGGGUGGAAUCUCCACAGAUGCUGAGUGAGCAAAGACCGGGUGCUCACACCGAGGGCAGACCAGGUGCUCACACCGAGGGCAGACCAGGUGCUCACACAGAGGGCGCAGGGGCAUCAGACACAGCUUCUGCCCUCGGGAAGGUCACAGGCUACUAGGGAGACUGGGGAGCGGGUGCUACUCACUACAUUCAACCGCACUGGGAGUUCUGCCGGGAAGAGGGCUGGAGAGACUCAGCAAUAAUAAUGAUAAUAAUAAUAAUAAUAGUGAUAAUAAUG